AUGGACAGACGGACACAGCACGGACACGGGGAUGGACAUGGGAUGGACAUGGGACAGAGAUGGGCUGCAGACACCUGGACCCACAUGAGGGACAUCUGGGGUGGACACGGGGUGGACUCAGGACAUGGGAUAAGGGACACCGGACAGGGGACACCGGACAGGGGACACCGGACAGGGGACACUGGACAGGGGACACCGGACAGGGGACGGUCCCUGGCUGUGCCCUGGGAAGGCCCCAUGGAGGCCCCGCCAUGUCCUGGAGCUCCAGGACAGGCAGUGGCCAGACAGAGCCACGGCCUCAGGGGUCAGUUCAGCCCUGGAGGUCAUUUUGUCCCAACGGGUCACUUUUUGUCCCCAAUAAAAUGCGCUGACCCCACACUGCCCCCGAGUGAUCCUUCAGUGUCCAGGGUCUGCCGCCAUGAUGAGUGUGGGGGCCGCCAUGAUGGUUGUGGCAGGCUCCAUGAUGGGACUGGCCGCUUCACCGUCAGGCCCGACCGUAUCUCCGGACAAACCGGACACGCCCUGACCCCAUGGGUCCGUCCCGGCCGCUCCGGACCCGCCAUCACCCCGUUAACGGCGCCUGAAGCGCCCCCAGCGCGGCCCUGCCCACACUCAAGAUGGCGCCGCACUCUGAGGCCUCACCGGAACCUCCAACAUGGCGGCGCCCGUGACGUAAUUCUGCUUCCGGCGCGGGCCGGAAGUGGCGCCGCCAUGGCGGCCGGGAGCUCCCGGGGCUGGUGAGGCCUCGGGGACACCGGGAGGGCCUUGGGGACACCGGGAGGGCUUUGGGGACACCGGGAGGGCCUUGGGGACAGCGGUGGUGGCGGUCGGGGCGGGGAGGUCGGGAUCGCGCCCGCGUCAGGCCCGGGGUUGGAGCUGGGGGCGCCGUGAGGGCCCCGCGCCCUCUUCGUGUCACCUCAGUGUCCCCAGACCCCCUAUGUCACCCCUAUGUCCCCUCAGUGUCCCCUCAGUGUCCCCAGACCGCCCGUGUCCCCUCUCUGUCCCCAUCUUGUCCCCAGUCCCUCCUCGUGUCACCUCUGCUGUCCCCCAGUGUCCCCAAGCGCCCCUCAGUGUCCCCCAGGCUGUGGUGGCACCCAGGAGGUGACACUGAGGGUCCUUUGUCCCCUCCCUGUCCCCUCCCCUGUGUCCCCAUUGUCCCCAACCCCCUCCCCAAGUGUGGUGUGACCCCUGAGGUGACACUGGGGUGACACUGCUGUGUCCCCAGAUGCCACCAUGGCCACCAGUGUCCCCCUCCCCUGUGUCCCCAUUGUCCCUCAGCUGUCCCCAGGCUGUGUCAUGGUUCUGGGGUGACCCUGGGGUGACCCUGGGGUGACCCUGGGGUGACACUGAGGUGACAUUGCUGUGUCCCCAGAUGCCACCAUGGCCACCAGCCGCUCCGAGGACGAGGAGUCCCUGGCGGGGCCCAAGCGGGGCCCGGCCACCCCCGUGGGGACUGUCCCCAAACGGCGCA
rnacentral:lncRNA from 1 species